rnacentral:rRNA from 1 species
GUCGAGGAUCAUUCGCAAUGGGCGAAAGCCUGACGAUGCGACGCUGCGUGGAGGAUGAAGGCCCUCGGGUCGUAAACUCCUGUCAUGGGGGGCGAGGCGGAGGCGGUUAACGGCCGCCCGAGUUGACGGUACCCCAAGAGGAAGCCACGGCUAACUCUGUGCCAGCAGCCGCGGUAAUACAGAGGUGGCGAGCGUUGUUCGGAUUUACUGGGCGUAAAGGGCGCGUAGGCGGCCGCGUGUGUGGGGUGUGAAAUCUCCGGGCUCAACCCGGAAAGUGCGCUCCAAACUGCGCGGCUCGAGUGCGGGAGGGGAGAUCGGAAUGCAGGGUGUAGCGGUGAAAUGCGUUGAUAUCCUGCAGAACACCGGUGGCGAAGGCGGAUCUCUGGAACGCAACUGACGCUGAGGCGCGAAAGCAGGGGGAGCAAACAGGAUUAGAAACCCUUGUAGUCC